AGCCUCGUAUCUCGGUUGGCUAGAUCGUUGGUUAGCAGCGUGGGUUCGAAUCCCACCGAGGCUG
rnacentral:tRNA from 1 species